CUUGCCAUAGUCUUAAUUUUCUACUCCUUUUGCUGGACUACGGAAAUAAGACUCAUUUUUCAGUGUCAGAUGAUAUCCUUGUGUCUCUGGGGCUCCUGGGAGGGGAUAUCAAAGUCCAGUGGCUUGAUUAAUGUAAUUAAGCCAAUCAAGGCUGUAGCUUUGUUGCAGCUGCCACUCGAGUGUGCUGCCCUUUGCUGCCAUGGAGCAUAAGCUGAAAGGCAGCACGGAAUGAAUGGGAAUUUUACUGGUGUUGGUGCCCAGCAGAGCACCUGCUUGUCAUCAUGAUCAAAGAUGAGCCAGAGCAGAAGGGAUUAGAGGUAGGAGGGAUUGGAUGUCAGCCCAUUAUGGAGACACUUGACACAGCUCAUCUCAUAACUGUGUCUGUCACAGAAAUAGACAGCAGUGAAAGAAUAAUUGCUCUGUUUGCCUUCCUGGAGGUGCCCUGGGAGAGUUUCAGGCUUGCAUCAGGUUGCUGGGGGUGGGGACGUGCCCCAAAGGGUCAUCCUAGAAAGGACACGAUCUGAAGAAUCCUUCCCCUGAGGGGAUGUGUCUGUCUUAGGUCUGAUGAAUGCAUUUCUCAGGGAGGAAAUGGUCCUGCAGAGUCCUGGGGCUGCUGUUGCCCAAACACAGCUUUGGCAAGAGGGCAGCUGCUAAGCUGGGCUUAAGCUGCUCUAGAAGCAACAGAAUAAAGAUUGUUUUGGACUGAGUGUCACAGAUGGCCACUGAUAAGUGACUUGUGUAACCACAGGCUCCUCCUCGCUGCUCAGGGGUUGCUGCAACCACACCAUAGGAUCUGACCUACAGGUGGCUGGAUGAAAAAGUGAUUCCCUGGCUUCUUCUGUUCCAGAAUAAAAUAAAUUUAAAUUAUGGGAAA